CUCUCAAGCUUUGCUUCCUGUUUUCCCACAGCACCCUUUAGCUGUGGUUGUGAUAGCAACUAUUUGCCAGCUUGAACUGGUUCUUUGGCUUCUGCUGUAAGUUUUGUGCUGGCCACACCUCUGGUCUUUCACAUUGGCAUUUGAAGGUUGGUUGCAUGGACCGAUUAUGCUGGUAAUUCAUUUACUACCUACCCAGCAGCACAGUGCUGCCAAAAAGAUUGCAAACUGGAACACACAGAAGCCAGGCAACAAUGGAAAAGAACAGUACCACAACUAAGCUUGUGCUUUGCUUCCAGAGACCUGCAGAGUCGGUCAGGACUGCAAAGAGAUUCUCCCUUGUUUUCCCUCGGAGGCAACUGAUUUCAACUUAUUUGUAGAGGCAUGUGACACAUCUGCUUGUAUGUAGCCUGAGAGGGGAGAUCCAGAGAAGGAAGAAUGGUGUAGUGGAAAUUGAUGGAUUUAAAAUCAGAGGACUUGGGUUUAAACCCCAGCUUUAACACUUACUGAGGAUCAGUUCUUUAUAUGAAAAUUGAAGUGGUUGGACUAGAUGACCUCCAGGUUCCCUUCCAGCUCUCAUCCUCUAAUUCUAUGGUACUGUGGUAGUAGUUGAAGGGCAUAGAGUCCAGCAGGAACACUUGGCAAAAGCAGGCAUGUGUGUACCCACACAUAGCCUGAGAAGGAUUAUAGGAUCAUAGAUUUAGAACUGAGAGGUACUUCAAAGGUCAUUUAGUCCUAUCUCCUUAAUUUUGCAGAUGAAGAAAUACUCUUUUGGGGAAUACACACACAUAUAUGGGUACAUAUAUUUAGAUAGAAAUGAUGAGGAUACAAACAGUGCUUUAAGAGUUAAGAAUUGCUUUUCCCUAGUUUAUUCUCUAACCUGAAGGUGUCCUAAAGUCUCUCCCCCUUAUCUUGAAAUACCAUAAAACUUCCCCCUUAUCCUGAACCAUAAAAUUCCUUGUCUCCCCCCAUUCUGGAUCAUAAAAUUCCCCUGUCUCCCUUAUCUUGUGUCAUCCAUCUUCUUCCUCCUGUCCCUAAUCUUUUAACCCCCAUAAAAACCUCUAAAACUACAUUAUCAUUCUGAAACCUCUACAUAAGCAUAACUCCCCCAAAUAUCAGAGUCUCAUUUAGCUUUCUUGCUAAGGAGGCCUGUGAUGCUUUUUACAUAAAAUAA